rnacentral:rRNA from 2 species
AGCAGCCGCGGUAAUUCCAGCUCCAAUAGCGUAUAUUAAAGUUGUUGCAGUUAAAAAGCUCGUAGUUGAAUUUCGGGAUUAGUACGUUGGUCGUGCCUUAGGUACGUACUGGUGUUACUGGUUCCUACCUUCUGACGAACCAUCAUGUCAUUAAUUUGGUGUGGCGGGGAAUCAGGACUGUUACUUUGAAAAAAUUAGAGUGUUUAAAGCAGGCUCGCGCUUGAAUACAUUAGCAUGGAAUAAUGAAAUAGGACGUUGACCCUAUUUUGUUGGUUUCUAGGAUUGACGUAAUGAUUAAUAGGGAUAGUUGGGGGCAUUAGUAUUCAAUUGUCAGAGGUGAAAUUCUUGGAUUUAUUGAAGACUAACUACUGCGAAAGCAUUUGCCAAGGAUGUUUUCAUUAAUCAAGAACGAAAGUUAGGGGAUCGAAGACGAUCAGAUACCGUCGUAGUCUUAACCAUAAACUAUGCCGACUAGGGAUCGGAUGAUGUUAUUUUUAAUGACUCAUUCGGCGCCUUACGG